AGAAUGAACGCUGAUGGCGUGCCUAACACAUGCAAGUCGUACGAGAAAUCCCGCCUUCGGGUGGGAGAGUAGAGUGGCGCACGGGUGAGUAACGCGUAGGUAAUCUACCCUUGGGUCUGGAAUAACUCGCCGAAAGGCGAGCUAAUACCGGAUAAUAUCCUUCGGAGAAAUCUGAAGGAUCAAAGGUGGCCUCUCCUUGGAAGCUAUUGCUUGAGGAUGAGCCUGCGUCCCAUUAGUUUGUUGGUAGGGUAAUGGCCUACCAAGGCUACGAUGGGUAGCUGGUCUGAGAGGAUGAUCAGUCACACUGGAACUGGAACACGGUCCAGACUCCUACGGGAGGCAGCAGUGAGGAAUAUUGCGCAAUGGGGGAAACCCUGACGCAGCGACGCCAUGUGGGUGAAGAAGGCCUUCGGGUCGUAAAGCCCUGUUUAGAGGGGAGAAAUGCUCGAUGGAAUAAUACCUGUCGAGUUUGACGGUACCUUUAGAGGAAGUACCGGCUAACUCCGUGCCAGCAGCCGCGGUAAUACGGAGGGUGCGAGCGUUGUUCGGAAUUACUGGGCGUAAAGCGGGUGCAGGCGGUUUGUCAAGUCAGAUGUGAAAGCCCACGGCUCAACCGUGGAAGUGCAUCUGAAACUGGCAGACUUGAGUACCGGAGAGGGAAGUGGAAUUCCUGGUGUAGGGGUGAAAUCCGUAGAUAUCAGGAGGAACACCGGUGGCGAAGGCGACUUCCUGGACGGAUACUGACGCUGAGAUCCGAAAGCGUGGGGAGCAAACAGGAUUAGAUACCCUGGUAGUCCACGCCCUAAACGAUGGGCACU
rnacentral:rRNA from 1 species